rnacentral:rRNA from 1 species
GAUGAACGCUGGCGGCGUGCUUAACACAUGCAAGUCGAACGAAGCAUUUAGAACGGAUUACUUCGGUUUGAAGUUCUUUAUGACUGAGUGGCGGACGGGUGAGUAACGCGUGGGUAACCUGCCUUGUACUGGGGGAUAGCAGCUGGAAACGGCUGGUAAUACCGCAUAAGCGCACAAUGUUGCAUGACAUGGUGUGAAAAACUCCGGUGGUAUAAGAUGGACCCGCGUCUGAUUAGCUAGUUGGUGAGAUAACAGCCCACCAAGGCGACGGUAAGGAGCCGACCUGAGAGAGGGACCGGCCACAUUGGGACUGAGACACGGCCCAGACUCCUACGGGAGGCAGCAGUGGGGAAUAUUGCACAAUGGAGGAAACUCUGAUGCAGCGACGCCGCGCGAGUGAAGAAGUAAUUCGUUAUGUAAAGCUCUAUCAGCAGGGAAGAUAGUGACGGUACCUGACUAAGAAGCUCCGGCUAAAUCCGUGCCAGCCGCCGCAGUAAAAC